ACGGCCAUACCAUGCUGAAUAUACCGGUUCUCGUUCAAUCACCGAAGUCAAGCAUCAUUGGGCGCGUGACCACUUGGGAACACCGCGUGCCGUU